UAUAUACUCCCUCCGUUUCAAAUUAGUUGACUUGGAUUUACCUAGAUAUGGAUGUAUCUACCACUAAACAUGUCUAGAUAUAUUCGUAUCUAGACAAAUCUGAGUCAACUAAUUCGGGACGAAGGGAAUAGAUG
rfam:Triticum aestivum genome assembly, contig: Triticum_aestivum_CS42_TGACv1_scaffold_623782_7DS